UCUCCCAGCAAUGGGCAAAGGGACACCUUGUUGGUGAUGGUGUUUUUCUAUCAGUCAUGGACAAACAGAUGGCAGUCUUUUGUUCAUCCUAGCUUGAUGCCUGGCUUGGUGGCCAAAGCUGCUUUAUGCUUAGGACUCACAA